UACGUAGGGGGCAAGCGUUGUCCGGAAUUAUUGGGCGUAAAGAGCUCGGUAGGCGGUCUGUCGCGUCGUGCUGUGAAAACUCAGGGCUUAACCCUGAGCUUGCAGUGGGUACGGGCUAGACUAGAGUGGCGGUAGGGGAGACUGGAAUUCCUGGUGUAGCAGUGAAAUGCGUAGAUAUCAGGAGGAACACCGAUGGCGAAGGCAGGUCUCUGGGCUGACACUGACGCU
rnacentral:rRNA from 1 species